UACGUAGGGGACGAGCGUUGUCCGGAUUUACUGGGCGUAAAGGGCGCGUAGGCGGUCAUUUAAGUCAGCUGUGAAAUGGUUUGGCUUAACCGGAUCAUGCGGUUGAAACUGGAUGACUGGAGUGCUGGAGAGGCAAGUGGAAUUCCCAGUGUAGCGGUGAAAUGCGUAGAUAUUGGGAAGAACACCGGUGGCGAAGGCGACUUGCUGGCCAGCAACUGACGCUGAGGCGCGAAAGCCAGGGGAGCAAACGGG
rnacentral:rRNA from 3 species